rnacentral:rRNA from 1 species
AGUGAACGCUGGCGGUAGGCCUAACACAUGCAAGUCGAACGGCAGCACAGUAAGAGCUUGCUCUUACGGGUGGCGAGUGGCGGACGGGGGAGGAAUACAUCGGAAUCUACUUUUUCGUGGGGGAUAACGUAGGGAAACUUACGCUAAUACCGCAUACGACCUACGGGUGAGAGCAGGGGAUCUUCGGACCUUGCGCGAGUGAAUGAGCCGAUGUCGGAUUAGCUAGUUGGCGGGGUAAAGGCCCACCAAGGCGACGAUCCGUAGCUGGUCUGAGAGGAUGAUCAGCCACACUGGAACUGAGACACGGUCCAGACUCCUACGGGAGGCAGCAGUGGGGAAUAUUGGACAAUGGGCGCAAGCCUGAUCCAGCCAUACCGCGUGGGUGAAGAAGGCCUUCGGGUUGUAAAGCCCUUUUGUUGGGAAAGAAAAGCAGCAGGUUAAUACCCCGCUGUUCUGACGGUACCCAAAGAAUAAGCACCGGCUAACUUCGUG